rnacentral:misc_RNA from 1 species
GAUGAAGAACGCAGCGAAAUGCGAUAAGUAGUGUGAAUUGCAGAAUUCCGUGAAUCAUCGAAUCUUUGAACGCACAUUGCGCCUUCUGGUAUUCCGGAAGGCAUGCCUGUUCGAGAGUCAUUAACAACCGUUUCGAUCCCUUUCUUUCAGAAAUUACAAAGAGGAAAAGGGUUUGGUUAUGGUGGAGGAGGGAAAGGGAGCGUUUAGCCUGUAAAAAAAGAGGCUGUGUUCCGCCUCCCCCCCAAAAUUGUACAGGCGGUCGUGUGCGCCCACGCUUCGAGGUGUUGUAAAAGCUGCCACGGCACUUUUCACCUGUGCAGUGCGAGAUUGGCCAGCCGGUUUAAAAACCCCUCCAAACAAUCAAAGGUUGACCUCGGAUCAGGUAGGGAUACCCGCUGAACUUAAGCAUAUCAAUAAGCGGAGGA